AUUGAACGCUGGCGGCAUGCUUUACACAUGCAAGUCGAACGGCAGCGCGGGCUUCGGCCUGGCGGCGAGUGGCGAACGGGUGAGUAAUGCAUCGGAACGUGCCCAGUAGUUGGGGAUAGCCCGGCGAAAGCCGGAUUAAUACCGCAUACGACCUGAGGGUGAAAGCGGGUGACCGAAAGGCCUCGCGCUAUUGGAGCGGCCGAUGUCGGAUUAGCUAGUUGGUGGGGUAAAGGCUUACCAAGGCGACGAUCCGUAGCUGGUCUGAGAGGACGACCAGCCACACUGGGACUGAGACACGGCCCAGACUCCUACGGGAGGCAGCAGUGGGGAAUUUUGGACAAUGGGGGCAACCCUGAUCCAGCCAUGCCGCGUGCGGGAAGAAGGCCUUCGGGUUGUAAACCGCUUUUGUUCGGGAAGAAAUCCUCUGGGCUAAUACCCCGGGGGGAUGACGGUACCGGAAGAAUAAGCACCGGCUAACUACGUG
rnacentral:rRNA from 1 species